rnacentral:ncRNA from 1 species
GCCAGCUUCUUAGAGGACUACGGCCUUUCAAGCGCGGAAGUUUGAGGCAAUAACAGGUCUGUGAUGCCCUUAGAUGUUCUGGCCGCACGCGCGCUACACUGAUGUAUUCAACGAGCAUAUAGCCUUGGCGACAGGCCCGGUAAUCUUUGAAAUUUCAUCGUGAUGGGGAUAGAUCAUUGCAAUUGUUGGUCUUCAACGAGGAAUUCCUAGUAAGCGCGAGUCAUCAGCUCGCGUUGACUACGUCCCUGCCCUUUGUACACACGCCCGUCGCUCCUACCGAUUGAAUGAUCCGGGUGAAGUGUUCGGAUCGCGGCGACGUGGGCGGUUCGCUGCCCGCGACGUCGCGAGAAGUCCACUGAACCUUAUCAUUUAGAGGAAGGAGAAGUCGUAACAAGGUUUCCGUAGUGAACCUGCGGAAGGAUCAUUG